rnacentral:misc_RNA from 1 species
AAGUCGUAACAAGGUCUCCGUAGGUGAACCUGCGGAGGGAUCAUUACCGAGUGUGGGCCUCCGUGCCCAACCUCCCAACCCUUUGUCGAUUCAUAUCUGUUGCCUCGGGGGGCGACCCGGACUCGCGCCGGGAGUCCCCAGGCUCACGAAUACACAUGCGUCUUGCGUCUGAGUAUUUGAAAAACAAUCAAUCAAAA